rnacentral:rRNA from 1 species
AUACGUAGGGGCCUGACGUUGUUCGGAAUCAUUGGGCGUAAAGGGCGCGCAGGCGGCCGUCCAAGUCCGGUGUUAAAUGGUCGGGCUCAACCCGAUCAUGCGCUGGAAACUGGGCGGCUGGAGUCCCGGAGGGGAUGCCGGAAUUCCAGGUGUAGGGGUGAAAUCUGUAGAUAUCUGGAAGAACACCGAUGGCGAAGGCAGGCAUCUGGCCGGAGACUGACGCUGAGGCGCGAAGGCGCGGGGAGCGAACAGGUUUAGAUACCCUGGUAGUCCGCGCAGUAAACGAUGCGCACCAGGUGUCGGGCGGCAGCGCCCGGUACCGGAGCAAACGCGAUGAGUGCGCCGCCUGGGGAGUAUGCCCGCAAGGGUGAAACUCAAAGGAAUUGACGGGG